ACAUUGCCCUACCCUUUUAGCUUUUCUGGCUCACACACAACUUCCUUUCCUUUUGGAUAUGGAAAACAGGGAAGAGAGGGUAGUGUGACAUUAGCACUAAUUUCUAGCAGAUUUUUAACUGCCCCUGAUGCUCGUUCAUCUUUGCAGUGUGGGUUUUCAUGCUGACAAAUCCUCUGCUUUGCCUUCUGCUCACAGUCAGCUGGGCCCUUUAUUGAACAGAUUUAUCUGCUACAAGGCUACGCAGAAGGAUGGAAAGGAGGAACACAGGGGGAAAAAAAAUAGAUUCAAGGCUGUGCAUUGAUCAUCUGAUGUACUCUAGAGACAAACGUGGCUAUCGGAGGUAACAUGGAGCAGCCCUUCUGGCCUUUUCAGUUGUAUUCAGAGAGAUGUUUGCCUUCUGUGAAUAUCUGGGUGCUUGGAGUUCACUCUGAUUUCAACAAGCCCAUCAAUAAUAAAACAUUGUAUUGAUAGAACAAGAUCUACUUCUGUGAAGUUGUGGCUCCACAGAAAAGCGGCAUAAAGAAGAGGCUGGUUCUGGGGUAACGAGGAAACGCAAGGCCUAAACACCUCUGGCUUGUCUGUCCAAGGAUCUGCCUCAGUUGUGGCUCCCAUCCUUCUGAAGAACUCUUCAGCACACUUUUGUGACUCCUGCCUCCAAGGUAUCAUCAGCUAUCCCCUGGAUCUUGCAGUGGAAGAGAUGCUGAACCACCAGCUGUUCCAUAUUCUACACCAUGUGUCUUUUUACCAUGCUCCUCUGAGAACCAUCUCUCCCGUCUCUGUUUCUUUGCAGACAAAAAGGGAGAAAGUGGGAUUGCCUUUGUUCUUUUGCGUGUUAAUAAAAAGGCCGCUUGUGGCUGUGUGCAGUGGCAACUGCAUCACAGAAUCUUAGAGGUGAUUAUUCACAGGUUAAGGAAAUAAUUCCUUUUUUUUGUCACUGCUGCACUGAAUUUCAUAGGCGUGUCUGUGGCUUGAUGCCUAAGAUAUUUAAAGCAGGUUUUAUUCUUACAGGGGUUUUGCACACUAAAGUGUCUGCCCAGGUUUUGUUUCCAAAAGUGAGGUAUAGUGCUGGGUGUUUAAUUUGGUAUGUUACUUGUUCUGUUGUGUAAAUAACUGCAGCUCCCUCCCUGUGCCUGUGUAUUGCAGGGGCAAGCGAGCGCUGGUUAUAAAGGUGGCGAUAAUUAGGAAGAAGCUGUUUAAGCUUGGAUAAAUGUUUAGAAAUCAUUGAUUAGAUAUUGCUGUGUAAAAUGCUUGCUUGCGGUGAGCGACUUCUCCAGGGUCAAGCUGUUCAGGUAUAAGCAGUUUAUUAUAAGGGUAAAGAGAGGGGAGACCUGUGUCCACCACCAGCCUCGGCAUCCACGUGGUCCAGGGGAGGGGGGAGAGCAGGGGAGGAGAGGUUGGAAAAGGGGAGGGAGGGAGUAAGAGCAACAGAGGGAGAGCGGGGGAAACCAGGGAGGCUUAGGAGAGGGGGGAGACAAGAGAGGGGUAAGAGGGGAAAAACCAAGAGGGUAAGAGUAAGAGAGGGAAAGAGUGGAAGAGGUAAGAGAGGGGGAGAGGGGAGCUGAGAGAGGAGUAAAGGGGUAAGAGAGAAGAGCCAAGAGGUAUGAGAGAGGUUAAGAGAGAGAGGUUCAAGAGUGAAAAGCUAAGAGAGCAAAGUUCUUGUCACAAUCCAAUGUAUCUUUUUCUACAGUGAAUAUUCUAAUUCCCAGUAUCCAAUCACUAUGAGAUACACCCACUAAAGACUUU